UCCGGUUCUCUUCCACCUUAUUUCCUUCCUUUAUUAUCGCAGCUGAGCUUCAGCACUCUGUCCUUCGGGCUGUGGGCAGACUCUCAUUCGACAAGCCUUCCCACAUCGUAAAGGUCAGUCAAGAGUCUGUUGUCUUCCCACUUAUUCACUUGCUAAUGACCCACACACCACCCACCAACUCUAAAAGUCUCAAUGAAGUGCAGCUUCUCUUUACUGCUGACUCCUCCAUGCCCUUGUCAUCCUUUUUGUGUAACUUCAACAAUUUUCAGCCU
rnacentral:lncRNA from 1 species